rnacentral:rRNA from 1 species
GAUGAACGCUAGCUACAGGCUUAACACAUGCAAGUCGAGGGGAAACGACAUCGAAAGCUUGCUUUUGAUGGGCGUCGACCGGCGCACGGGUGAGUAACGCGUAUCCAACCUGCCCACCACUUGGGGAUAACCUUGCGAAAGUAAGACUAAUACCCAAUGACGUCUCUAGAAGACAUCUGAAAGAGAUUAAAGAUUUAUCGGUGAUGGAUGGGGAUGCGUCUGAUUAGCUUGUUGGCGGGGUAACGGCCCACCAAGGCGACGAUCAGUAGGGGUUCUGAGAGGAAGGUCCCCCACAUUGGAACUGAGACACGGUCCAAACUCCUACGGGAGGCAGCAGUGAGGAAUAUUGGUCAAUGGACGGGAGUCUGAACCAGCCAAGUAGCGUGCAGGACGACGGCCCUAUGGGUUGUAAACUGCUUUUAUGUGGGAAUAAAGUGAGGGACGUGUCCCUUUUUGUAGGUACCACAUGAAUAAGGACCGGCUAAUUCCGUG